AUUGAACGCUGGCGGCAGGCCUAACACAUGCAAGUCGAGCGGACGAAGGGAGCUUGCUCCUGGCUUCAGCGGCGGACGGGCGAGUAAUUCCCAGGAAUCUGCCUGGUAGUGGGGGAUAACGUCCGUUCACGGGCGCUAAUACCGCAUACGUCCUUAUGUUGAAAGUGAGGGUUCUUCGGUCCUCACCCUACUUGCUGUGCCUAGGAUGUAUUAGCUAGUUGGUUGGGUAAAGGCCUACCAAGGCGACGAUCCGUAACUGAUCUGAGAGGAUGAUCAGUCACACUGGAACUGAGACACGGUCCAGACUCCUACGGGAGGCAGCAGUGGGGAAUAUUGGACAAUGGGCGAAAGCCUGAUCCAGCCAUGCCGCGUGUGUGAAGAAGGUCUUCGGAUUGUAAAGCACUGUAAGUUGGGAGGAAGAGAAGUAAGUGAAUACCUUGCUGUUUUGACGUUACCAACAGAGUAAGCACCGGCUAACUUCGUG
rnacentral:rRNA from 1 species